GAUUAUAAAGCUGCCAAGCAUGUGUUUUGAAAACGCAAGGAAGGAGUUAAAAUCUCCUAAUAAUCU
rnacentral:tRNA from 1 species